AGCAGCCGCGGUAAUACGGAGGGUGCAAGCGUUAAUCGGAAUUACUGGGCGUAAAGCGCACGCAGGCGGUCUGUCAAGUCGGAUGUGAAAUCCCCGGGCUCAACCUGGGAACUGCAUUCGAAACUGGCAGGCUAGAGUCUUGUAGAGGGGGGUAGAAUUCCAGGUGUAGCGGUGAAAUGCGUAGAGAUCUGGAGGAAUACCGGUGGCGAAGGCGGCCCCCUGGACAAAGACUGACGCUCAGGUGCGAAAGCGUGGGGAGCAAACAGGAUUAGAUACCCUG
rnacentral:rRNA from 1 species